UCAUGCAGGACCACACUGAUAUACAUAUCUUUGCUUUAUUUAGGAGUUAUUGCACUGGUAACUUUAGCUCCAGGAACACUAGAGAUGCAGACUGACACUGCGGCCACUCAGAACUAAUUCUGGUUGAAGUGGUUAAGGUGGUCUAAACUGAAAAAAUUAUUGCUUGGUCCUGCAAAUUCUAUGUGAGGAAUUACAAGAAAAAAAGAACACUGAAGGCAGUAGAGAUGACAGUAUCUUGCUUUUCACUGCAGAGGAAAUAUAGGCAUUGGAUUUUCAGUCAAAUACAAAUUCUAUUUCCAUUGGCUAUCUUGGUCUUUUCCCUGUGAAUUUAAUCAUUGGAAGACACAGUGUAGUGUAUGUGUUCAUUACUGGGUGAAUCAAAACAUACAGAGAAUCAUUGUUAAAAGGUCUAGAGUGCAGACGUUGGUUUAAAACCAGAGCACAUGCUGAUUCUGUCAGUGCUCUAUGGGGUUCGCUGAGACACCGAGGGAAAGAGUUAGUGAUUCGACAGCCAGGACUUGUGUUUGCCUUGACAUCCAAGUGCAGGAACUGGGGUCAAAAAGCCAAGCAGCACUUUCGUGGGGUUGGCCCCGUGGCCGAGGGGUUAGGUUCUCGCGCUCCUCUGCAUGCGGCCCAGUGUUUCGUUGGAGCGAGUUCUGGGUGCGGAUAUGGCACUGCUCAUCGAGCCACGGUGGGGCAGUGUCCCACAUGCCACAACUGGAGGGACCCACGGCUAAGAGUAUACAGCUAUGUACCGGGGGGCUUUGGGGAGAAAAAGGAAAAAAUAAAAUCUUUGAAGAAAAAAAAAAAAGCCAAGCAGCACUUUCAUUAGUUCCACUUGACAUCAUGGAAUGUUUACCACAUUUAUUGUCACGACUUUACAACUUAGCAUCAGAAUACUGAACUUUAACGAUGUUGUCUAGCUCUUGCUGUGUCAGGACUUGGCUUUUGGUUAACUAUGAGGAAGCCAAGUAUUUGAAAGCUCUUAUUUGCCAUUAAUAGGGAUUAAAAGCAGGCUGGCAGGACAGGAAGCAGGUAACCGUUAUUCUCUGCAAAGUAAAGCAUAAAGUGCCCUCAAAGUGGCCCGAAAACCUCUGUGAGAAAACCUUGAAGACCUUUCAUGGGUAGAGGUGGUAAAGAGGGAAUGACAGCUGACUAGAAUGACGUGACCAAGACAACGAGGCAAAAAACUCAGCACGUUGUCUUGCUUCCUGUCAGAUGCUCAUGUAUUACAUCCAGUCCUUGGCCCAGUGUACCGUCAGUGUGAUUUCUGUUUAGAAAAUUGUCAGGUAUUUAUACAAUGAUUUGGUCUUUAGAAAAUUGCAUGUUCUUCACUUGAUACAAAUGCACAGCUUGAAUCAUUUUACUAACUCUGGUCUUUGGUUUAAAACAGGCUUGCUUGAGAUUUCAAGAGAGGGCAUGAGUUCGCCUUCCACUGUAACCCGCGCUUCAGUGAGAACAACAGGGGAGCCAUUGUUUGCAUUACAAAGCUGGAUAAUAUCUGGGGAAAGGAAGAAAGACAGGCAGAUUUCCCCUUUGAAAGUGGUAAACCAAAGUAAGUUAUUGCUACUAUGAGAUAUUGAAAAUGUCUGUUGCUCAUGGGACUCGCUCUAAACCACAAUGCCCUUGAAAUGAAUUUUCAUCAGCUCUCCUGAGACACCUAACUAGGACAUCUCCUCCCCAUCCCAGGGGACCAGGCACUGCAGGCUGGAACAGGGCAGGAGCGCUGACCACAGGACCUUGGCACAUGUCAGGAUUUGGAGAUGGCUCUUUAAGGAGGUGAAAUGAGGUCCUGAUGCAAUGGGACUGGGGUCCUUAUGAGAAGAGGAGACACAGAUGCAGAGGAGCAGCCCCGUGAGGACGGAGGCAGAGACGGGAGGGAGGCGGCCACCAGCCCAGGGACCCUGGAGCCCCAGACACUGGAAGAGGCCGGAGGGACCCUCCUGUGGAGCCUCCGGAGGGAGCACAGCCCUGCAACCCUUGACCUCAGACUCUGGGCUCCAGGAUGGGGUAGGACGGAUCCCUGGGGUUCAAGCCCCUGAAUGGCCCUUCACCUGGAACUCUCCGGACCUGCACUCUGCCUCACCCAUCCAAUCCCAUUUUGCAGACUUGGCCACCCCUCAGCCUGAUUCCCAGCCCCCGAGCGGCCCAGGCAGCCCCGACAGGGCGGACCGACGACCUGGGUGGGGGGACCGGAGGCAACUGCCCCCCACUAAUGAUUCCCCUAAACCCCAUCUUCCCUCCGGCAUCUGAUACGCAGACGCCCUCGGCUCACGCCCCAUUCCUUUAUAUCCAGGCCGAUGACACCCGGCCCCCCCCAGGCCUCCCCGGCCGAGCGCUCAGUGUCCGGGGGUGAUUAACGCCCAGCUUGCUGCGUGAAAGAUGUGAGUCCUGACUCGGUUGGGGGCCAAGCGGCCCCAAUUAACACAGCAGUGGCUUUCAUGUUCACCUCAAUUAAGCCGGCUGCCGUUUCCUGAGUCAUUUCCCGGGCAGCGUCCCGCGGUGUCGGCCACACAUCAAAGGGCCUCGAGGGCCACGCAGCAGACAGUUUCUGAGGGAAGAUUCAUCAACAGCUUUUAAUUAUUGCUGGAAGAAAGCAGCAAUAAGUGGAUGAGAAAAGAAAAGUUUGAGUGAGUUCUACUUUCUUUAAGUCUCCAAAUGGACACUUAAGGGGGAAAAUGCUGAUCCAAAGCAAUGGCUGACAGUGUUCUGGAUUAAGUGAGAGCCUAUUCAUCCUCUAAACAUGUACUGUAAUAUAAUUUAUCUUAAAACUCCAUGGAGAAGAGACUGUUAUCAAACUGAGGUUUAUGAAGGAUUACGUCUCUUGCCCAAGGCCAUAUAUGGCCUUCAACCUUUGGAUUUAAAACAGUGGCAGGGUAGAGAUUAAAACCCAAGUCAAAGCCCACACUCUUUGCCACUAUCCUGUACACAUCUUGGGCCGCUGCUAGACACAUUGGAACCACCUGUUGGAUAUGCCAGAAACAUCUGCCGGAUACACUGAAACCACCUGCCAAAUAUGCCAGAAUCAGGUCCCGGACAUCGUGGAAACACCUGCCAGACACGUCCAUAUCACCUGUCAGAUACGCCAAAACCAUGUGCCACACAUGCCGGAACCACCUCGUGGACACAUCUGCUGGAUACUCCAGAAACAGGAAAACCACAGGACGGAACCAGGUGCCAGACAAGCGUGAAGCCCCUUCCAGACUAGCCUGAACCACUUGCUGGACCAGCCUGAAUCACUUUAUGGACAUUCCAGAACCACAUGCCCAGCACGCUAAAACCGAGUGACUGACACGCCACAACCACCUGCUGAGCACACCUGAACUGGUCACUGUGAAACCACCUGCCGGAUACACCAGAACCAGGUGCCGGACAUGCCAGAACCACCUGCCAGAUACACCAGACACAGGUGUCGCACAUGCUGAAACCAGGUUCCCAACAUGACUGAACCACCUGCCAGACACGUUGGAGCCACCUGCCGGAUAUGCCAAACACAGCUGUUGCACAUGCUGGAACCAGGUGCUGGACACACCUGAACCACCUGCUGGACAGGCUUCAACCACCUGCUAGGCACAAGGGACC